CCUACGGGGAGCAGCAGUGAGGAAUAUUGGUCAAUGGCCGAGAGGCUGAACCAGCCAAGUCGCGUGAGGGAAGACGGCCCUACGGGUUGUAAACCUCUUUUGUCGGAGAGCAGAGCGCACCACGUGUGGUUCAUUGAGAGUACCCGAAGAAAAAGCAUCGGAUCACUCCGUGCCAGCAGCCGCGGUAAUACGGAGGAUGCGAGCGUUAUCCGGAUUUAUUGGGUUUAAAGGGUGCGCAGGGGGAGGUGCAAGUCAGCGGUCAAAUUGCGGGGCUCAACCCCGGACUGCCGUUGAAACUGCAGCCCUUGAGUGCGCGAGAAGUAUGCGGAAUGCGUGGUCUAGCGGUGAAAUGCAUAGAUAUCACGCAGAACUCCGAUUGCGAAGGCAGCAUACCGGCGCGCAACUGACGCUCAUGCACGAAAGCGUGGGUAUCGAACAGGAUUAGAUACCCGGGUAGUC
rnacentral:rRNA from 1 species